CAAAUGACAAAACAUAUAUAAUUGAUUAAUAACCCAUCACCAUAAACACUCAAGACAACAACAAUUACAAUGUUUAGAAACCAAAUUAGCACCAAUUACAAAACCAAACCAGCACCAAUUACAAACAGCCACUAUAUAAAAGAAAAUUGAACAGAUUCAGUACCUGAAACCCCUCUUACCCAUGCCCAAAAGAAAAUUGAAUUACAAACAGCACCAUUUUCAUCACGUCAGCCGCACAAGAAGAUUGAAUAACAAGCAGCCAUUCAUGCCCAUUUGGAAUCGCAUUUAUAACAUUACCUUGUGCGGCUGACGACGGCGAACGAAGCCGGAGGUAGCUAGAGCAGAGAUGAUAGCAGCUGGAACGAGGAAGCAAAUCCAGAACGGCUAGAACGAGGAAGCAAAUAGCGUGGUGGGCGUUUGUUCCCGGCGGCAAUGGCUGUAACGUAGGCGUGGCUGUGUGUGAGUGAAUCUCUUGUUCACGAUGGAGAAGAAGAAUCAAGAAAGAAUGAAAUAACUAGAGAUUGCGUUUUUGCCUUAUGUACUUAUAUAUAUGUACAUAUGUUUUAUUUAUUUUUUUAGGCUAAACCCGAUCGGUUUAUAAAAUUGAACCCGAUUGGCUUGACCCAAUCCAAACCCCCACAAUCGCCC
rnacentral:lncRNA from 1 species